rnacentral:rRNA from 1 species
AUAGCUCAGUAACGGCGAGUGAAGCGGCUACAGCUCAAAUUUGAAAUCUGGCCUCCUUUGGGGGUCCGAGUUGUAAUUUGCAGAGGAUGCUUUGGCAUUGGCGGCGGUCUAAGUUCCUUGGAACAGGACAUCGCAGAGGGUGAGAAUCCCGUACGUGGGCGCCUGCCUUUGCCGUGUAAAGCUCCUUCGACGAGUCGAGUUGUUUGGGAAUGCAGCUCUAAAUGGGAGGUAAAUUUCUCCUAAAGCUAAAUACCGGCCAGAGACCGAUAGCGCACAAGUAGAGUGAUCGAAAGAUGAAAAGUACUUUGGAAAGAGAGUCAAAUAGCACGUGAAAUUGUUGAAAGGGAAGCGCUUGCAGCCAGACUUGCCCGCAGUUGCUCACCUAGGCUUUCGCCUGGGGCACUCUUCUGCGGGCAGGCCAGCAUCAGUUUGGGCGGUCGGAUAAAGGCCUCUGUCAUGUACCACCCCUCGGGGUGGCCUUAUAGGGGAGGCGUAAUGCGACCAGCCCGGACUGAGGUCCGCGCAUCUGCUAGGAUGCUGGCGUAAUGGCUGUAAGCGGCCCGUCUUGAAACACGGACCAAGGAGUCUAACAUCUAUGCGAGUGUUUGGGUGUCAAGCCCGGGCGCGCAAUGAAAGUGAACGGAGGUGGGAACCCUUCGGGGUGCACCAUCGACCGAUCCUGAAGUCUUCGGAUGGAUUUGAGUAAGAGCAUAGCUGUUGGGACCCGAAAGAUGGUGAACUAUGCUUGAAUAGGGUGAAGCCAGAGGAAACUCUGGUGGAGGCUCGCAGCGGUUCUGACGUGCAAAUCGAUCGUCAAAUUUGGGCAUAGGGGCGAAAGACUAAUCGAACCAU